UACAGAGGGUGCGAGCGUUGUUCGGAAUUAUUGGGCGUAAAGCGCGUGUAGGCGGUGAUGCAUGUCGGGUGUGAAAGCCCUCAGCUCAACUGAGGAAGUGCGCCCGAAACUGCAUCGCUGGAGUGCCGGAGAGGAAGGCGGAAUUCCCGGUGUAGAGGUGAAAUUCGUAGAUAUCGGGAGGAACACCAGUGGCGAAGGCGGACCUUCUGGACGGACACUGACGCUGAGACGCGAAAGCGUGG
rnacentral:rRNA from 1 species